AUGAACGCUGGCGGCGUGCUUAACACCUGCAAGUCGCACGAAGCACUUUAUUUGAUUUCCUUCGGGACUGAUUAUUUUGUGACUGAGUGGCGGACGGGUGAGUAACGCGUGGGUAACCUGCCUUGUACAGGGGGAUAACAGUUGGAAACGGCUGCUAAUACCGCAUAAGCGCACAGCAUCGCAUGAUGCAGUGUGAAAAACUCCGGUGGUAUAAGAUGGACCCGCGUUGGAUUAGCUAGUUGGUGAGGUAACGGCCCACCAAGGCGACGAUCCAUAGCCGACCUGAGAGGGUGACCGGCCACAUUGGGACUGAGACACGGCCCAAACUCCUACGGGAGGCAGCAGUGGGGAAUAUUGCACAAUGGGCGAAAGCCUGAUGCAGCGACGCCGCGUGAGCGAAGAAGUAUUUCGGUAGGUAAAGCUCUAUCAGCAGGGAAGAUAAUGACGGUACCUGACUAAGAAGCACCGGCUAAAUACGU
rnacentral:rRNA from 1 species